rnacentral:rRNA from 1 species
GGCGACGAUCAGUAGCCGGUCUGAGAGGAUGAACGGCCACAUUGGAACUGAGACACGGUCCAAACUCCUACGGGAGGCAGCAGUGGGGAAUAUUGCACAAUGGGGGGAACCCUGAUGCAGCGACGCCGCGUGAGCGAAGAAGGUUUUCGAAU